rnacentral:rRNA from 1 species
CGAGCGCAACCCUUGUCAUUAGUUGCCAUCAUUGGUUGGGCACUCUAAUGAGACUGCCGGUGACAAACCGGAGGAAAGUGGGGAUGACGUCAAGUCCUCAUGGCCCUUAUGGGUAGGGCUUCACACGUCAUACAAUGGUCGGUACAGAGGGUUGCCAACCCGCGAGGGGGAGCUAAUCCCACAAAGCCGAUCGUAGUCCGGAUCGCAGUCUGCAACUCGACUGCGUGAAGUCGGAAUCGCUAGUAAUCGUGGAUCAGCAUGUCACGGUGAAUACGUUCCCGGGUCUU